GAUCCUGGCUUAGAACGAACGCUGGCGGCGCGUCUUAAGCAUGCAAGUCGAACGGCAAGAGGUAGCAAUACCUCCUAGAGUGGCGGACUGGUGAGUAACACGUGGGUGACAUACCCUUCAGAUGGGGAUAGCUAUUAGAAAUAGUAGAUAAUACCGAAUACGAGCACAGGGGUUAGAGAUCUGUGAGGAAAGGAGCUAAGGCUCCGCUGAAGGAAUGGCCUGCGGCCCAUUAGCUAGUUGGUGAGGUAAGAGCCCACCAAGGCGAUGAUGGGUAUCCCGGCCUUAGAGGGUGAACGGACACAUUGGGACUGAGAUACGGCCCAGACUCCUACGGGAGGCAGCAGCUAAGAAUAUUCCGCAAUGGACGAAAGUCUGACGGAGCGACGCCGCGUUGGAUGAAGAAGGCCGGAAGGUUAGUAAAAUCCUUUUGAAACUGAAGAAUAAGCGUUGUAGGGAAUGACAGCGUGGUGACAGUUAGGUUUUGAAUAAGCAACGGCUAAUUACGUGCCAGCCGCUGC
rnacentral:rRNA from 1 species